rnacentral:rRNA from 1 species
UACGAAGGGGGCUAGCGUUGUUCGGAUUUACUGGCGUAAAGCGCACGUAGGCGGAUUGUUAAGUGAGGGUGAAAUCCUGGAGCUCAACUCCAGAACUGCCUUUCAUACUGGCAAUCUAGAGUCCGGAAGAGGUAAGUGGAACUCCUAGUGUAGAGGUGGAAUUCGUAGAUAUUAGGAAGAACACCAGUGGCGAAGGCGGCUUACUGGUCCGGUACUGACGCUGAGGUGCGA